GUUUACAGCGUUCAUCGGUCAGCGUGAGACAAAUGAGCCCUCGACCAAAACGAGCCAUAAAAUUAACGGCUUCAGCGGUGAUACUUUCAGCCGCCAUUAC
rnacentral:antisense_RNA from 1 species